ensembl:antisense
UGGUUUGAAGGUUUGAACAGGGCUGGCAAGGGAACAUGAUCUCUCUCUCUCUCUCUCUCUCUCUCUCUCUCUCUCUCUCCACACACACACAACCUCUAGCCUUGGGAAAGCACAGUCCACCUGCUAAGCAAGCAGGCUGCGGGAGUUUCCUUGGCAAAGAAUCCUGUCUGCUGCUUCCAAAUGCAGUCUCCAGAAGGUCACUUCACUCAGAUACAGAACAGCUUCCUUUGGUCUCUGUGACAAAGUUUGUGGGGAUUCAGUGCGGUCCUCCCUUGGGGUGCUUCUACACUCCCACCCCUACUCUGGGUGCCUGUGGCACACAGCUGGUCUGCCCGCAGCACCCCGCCUUACCUUAGUGAGCUGAGCGAUCUUCUUGCACAUUUUCACGUGCAUCUCCGGAUCACAGUCCAUCCUCCAGCCCGAGCCACCGCGGGCGUCGGCUUUGGAGCUCGCGCAGGUUCCUGGCGGGUGAAUUUUGCUGUUGAGGGCAGAUGCCAUCGCUUUAAGGAGCCCUGCACUGAAAUGCUCUGACUCGCGCGCUCUCACCGCUGGCCGUGUGCACGUGCGUUCGAGCACGGGCGUGAGAGCUUUCUCCAGAGAGGUGGCACUGCAGUCCUGCCAGCACAGCCGCGUGGCUCUCUUUCCGGAGGUGUCUCCUUCCCGGGCCCACUCGCGCACCACCUUCCUCUGCUCGUGCUCGUUCGCGAGCUAGCUGGCUCACGGGCACCCGCACCAUGCAGCGUAGCGCUGGCGCCUUGCACGUGAGGUUUACCAUCUGCGGAUGCUUCCGAGAGGAUUCAAAUUAACGGAACUCUCCAACACCCAAAGGGGGAACGGACCUGAAGUAUUGUUUGUAAUAAAUGCUUCUCAGUAAAUAGAAAAGCAAAUUUCUCAUAAUUCUACUCCAAAAGGGUGAAACACAUGUUUUUGAUAGACAUACAACUGUGACAAAUAACUUAGCCUUCUGUUAAAGAAAGGUAACAUUUUGUAUAUGAACUGUAAAACCUUUAACAUAAAAUUUUAUUGAGGCAAGAAUUCUUACCUGUUUCACAUACUGCCAAAGCCCCAGUGAUUAGAAUAGUGUUUAGCAGGCCACUAUUAGGUUCUUAAACAUUUAUCGAAUAAGAAGUGGUAUUUUCAAUAGUAGUAUGUGAAUCAUAUAGAUUAUGAUUAAUAAUCAUAUAAAUGUGCUUAAUAUAAUCAUGGAAAUAUAAGUUAAAACCAAAUUAAGAUGCUACUAUACCACUUAGAAUGUAUAAAAUAAAAAGAAAAUGUUUACCAGAAUGUGUAAAGUAAUGAGCAAAAUAUAAAGCGUUUACAAAGAUACAUGCUAAAAUGGAGUUUUGUGUGUUACUUACUAGUAGAAGAGUAAAAUGAUACAAUCACUUUGGAAAGUGUGUGGCAGUUUUACUACAACUAAAGCACACAUCACUUAUGAUGUCAGUUUGACGCCUCAGUUUAAGACAAGAGGAAUGAGUGUGCGCAUGCACAAAGACAUAGAAUGUUUAGGACAACUUUAUUUGUAAUAACUCAAACUUGUAAGAACUCCAGUGCCAACAAUGGGUAAAAGGUAAAUGAAUUGUGGUAAUUCAUAUGAUAAAUUACAGUAAUAAUGUUGAAGUAGAAUGUGGAAGGAAGAAGGUGACUAUAAUAUAUCACAUAGUGUAUGAUCCCAUUCACAUGAAGUUUGAGGAAAACCAGGACUAACUUACCUUUACAAAAGUAGCUAUUUUGGAAUUCUGUGGAAUCAGAAAUUUUUGUGCUGUAUUCUGAGUGUAUGUAUCUUGAUAUAAUCUUAACAUUAUACAUUUGUGAAGAAACACCAAGAAUUAAGACGUGGUUUAUGAAAACCCACUUUUCAUUUCCUGCCAGCAAGGCAAGAGUGCCUUUGGUAAAUUUAUCAUUUGAAAAUAUUAUUAUUUUGCACUUUUCAUUUUUCAUUCCUGAUCAAGUGAAAGGCAUUUGUUAAUCUUUAUAGGUUCAUUUGGACUGAAUGAUCAAGCUAUCUGAUUCUCCUUAUUCAGAAGGUCGCUCCUAUUUGAAUCUCAUCUUUAUCAAUCUUGAUAGUAUCCAUAGCUUUUUUUUCUCCUGUGGAAAUAGAGACAAAUUUUUUCCCCAAUGUAACACAAUUCCAGUUUUCUGUUUUAAGAAUUAUACACUAUGUGAUAUAUACAUCAACACAUCUCUAAAUUAUACAGGCUGGUUUAAUUCAGCAGGGUUUUUUUUUCCUAUUAUUCAAUGUUUCUCCAUAGUUGUUGUAUGGCACACAUAUCUUUCCAAAGUCUGGGAAAUGAAAUAUAUCCACUCGCCAAAUUUCAUUUCUUUAGGUACCUGUGGAACUUUCAAAAUGUUUGGUCCAGGGCACUAUUAGAUGUUACCCUGUUAGAAGAAAUGUGCCACUGUUGGGGUGGGCUUUGAGACCCCUCUCCUAGCUGCCUGGAAUACAGUCUGCUCCUUACUUCUUUUGGAUGAAGAUGUCGAACUCUCAGCUCCUCCAAUGUCAUGCCUGCCUGGAUGCAGCCAUCCUUCCUGUCAUGAUGAUAAUGGACUGAAUCACAGAACCUGUAAGCCUGCAUCAAGUCUGCAGGAUUAGGCACAUCCUCUCCCACUGAGGCUAGAUGUGGCAGCCCUCUGCUACAUAUGCGUCAGGGGCCUUGAACCAGGCCCUGUAUGCUUUUUGGAUGGUGGAUCAGUCUCUAGAAGCUCCCAGAGGUCCAGGUUAUUUGCUUUGUGGAUGAGUUUUCCAAAACUGACAGGGAAUGGAAUGCCUGAAUCCAAUUUAAUUUGGACAGGAGGGCCCCUAGGGCUUUUCCCAAUAGAAAAUAUUACCUUGCCUGUCUUUUGUUCAUCUGCAUUCAUUAGUCCAAUGUAGGCCUUUGCCAUGCCUUCUGCAUACUCCAGAAAGCUGGGGCCUUCUUUUUGGAUUACCUCUAUG